CUACGGGAGGCUCCAGUUAGGUAUAAUCUACAAUGCACGAAAGUGUGAUAGUUUGAAUCAGAGUGCUUUGCUUUGCAAAGCUUUUGUGAAAUGUAAAAAGUUUCACGAAUAAGGACUGGGUAAGACUAGUGCCAGCCGCCGCGGUAAUACUAGCGGUCCAAGUCGCAGCCAUUUUUAUUGGGUCUAAAACAUCCGUAGCUUGCUUUGUAAGUUCCUUGUGAAAUCCUAUAUCUCAAAUAUAGGGCGGGCAAGGAGUACUGCUAAGCUAGAGACUGGGAGACGUAACGAGUACGUUUGAGGUAGCGGUAAAAUGUGUUAAUCUCAGACGGACUAACAAUAGCGAAGGCACGUUACGAGAACAGUUCUGACAGUAAGGGAUGAAGGCCAGGGGCGCAAAACGGAUUAGAUACCCUAGUAGUC
rnacentral:rRNA from 1 species